rnacentral:lncRNA from 1 species
AUAUGAAUUUAUGUAUCAAUCAAUGACCAAAGGAUAAAGUUCUAUUUUUCUACCUCUGUUUUCUCUUUGGAAAAUAGUCAUGUUUAAAAAAGCUGCCUUCUGAUUCCAGGCCACCUUGAGUCUGUUUCUUCCAGACAUGGGGCAGCGAGUAAUUAGAUACACUCCUCAAGCAACUUUCUAUGAAAGUAGGCAGCGUACUGUAGUGGAGAGAAAGUUGGAGCCAGAAGACUUGAAUUUGAAUCUGAACUCAGCAUUUUUAACAAGUGGAAAAUGUACAAGAAUGAAGCCCUCAAACCAAGAGAAGGAUAAAAGCAAGUAUAGAAAGACUUCAUUUCUCUGAAUUUGUUAGGGAAUGGAAAGUGAUGUGUCAUUAUAAAAAUGUUAAGAGUAGGAGAAAAUCCUGGGCCUAAACUUUGGAUCCAAAUGGGAACUAAGAACCUAAAACAUGUCCUAGAACCUAAAACAUAUCCUAGAAUGGGUUUCACAGCCCAGGAUGUCAGUAGCAGAUUAAUUUCGUUAACUCCAGAGAAAUUUGGACAGUAGAAUAUAAAAUUGAACUGGAAGUAAACUUAGAAUAGAAAUCGGAGAAUAUCUCUAGUCCAGCAGCUGUCAAAAUAUGACUACCAGUGAGCUUUCAAUGGUUUUUCACAUGUUAAAUAAAAAUUUAUUAAAUCUUUAUUUAAAAAGCUAA